rnacentral:ncRNA from 2 species
CAAGUUGGAAUGGUUCUAAAAUAUUCCCAACAGGACGAGGGAGAAAUAACCCUCAAAGGGUCUGGAUUGUAAUUGUAUCUGCACCAGACACUUACCGAAGUU